rnacentral:rRNA from 1 species
CGCCCAGACUCCUACGGGAGGCAGCAGUGGGGAAUAUUGCACAAUGGGGGGAACCCUGAUGCAGCGACGCCGCGUGGGUGAAGGAGUACUUCGGUACGUAAAGCCCUAUCAGCAGGGAAGAAGAUGACGGUACCUGACUAAGAAGCCCCGGCUAACUACGUGCCAGCAGCCGCGGUAAUACGUAGGGGGCAAGCGUUAUCCGGAUUUACUGGGUGUAAAGGGAGCGUAGACGGCGAUGCAAGCCAGAUGUGAAAGCCCGGGGCUCAACCCCGGGACUGCAUUUGGAACUGUGUGGCUGGAGUGUCGGAGAGGCAGGCGGAAUUCCUAGUGUAGCGGUGAAAUGCGUAGAUAUUAGGAGGAACACCAGUGGCGAAGGCGGCCUGCUGGACGAUGACUGACGUUGAGGCUCGAAAGCGUGGGGAGCAAACAGGAUUAGAUACCCUUGUA